CAGGUGUUGCACGGGCUGACUGAAUUUGAGGUGGAUGCAACGCACACUAAUAUUUGGAGAAAUAAGGUUCGUAUCAACAUAUUUAUUCAUAUAACAUAUAUUUUUAAACCUAUUUAUACACGUAUCAUAAUACCGAGGGCUAUAUAAAGACGUAAGUGCCAUUACAUUCAGUUUUACAUGGCAUUAAAUACACCGCCAGCUUCGUUCGUUUAGGUUAGCUUGUUUGAUAUGCCCGUUGGAUAGUAAAUACGUUUUCUACUGUUUUUGUUUAAUGUUUUAAACGUUCCCUUUGGACAAAGCCUUAAGUUUCUUCUUAACUAACGUUAUAUGAUGACAUUUACGUUACUUCAAAGCCCAGUUAACUGUUAACUUAAAACGAGAUUAAUGUAAGUUAAAGUAAAUGCAUUCUUUGCAUUUUCAGAUUAUUAAAAUGAGAUUUUUGACAAUUACAGCCGUAACAAAUCUCUGGUAAUUAAUUUCUGAAAACCAUUUUUUGUACACGAACAGUUAAAGCAGCCCAUCCCCCGCUGUACAGCAGUGCUGCUGCUGGGUCAAAACAACCCAAUUGCUGGAUCAUCUGUCGCGGGGAUUUUGGAUCGUCAGAAGGAGAAAUACAGCAGGACUUUACAAGCAGACAUUCUUCAGCGGUUCUUUUCUGGUGAAAUAAAGGUCUGUAUUUGUCUUUGUAUCAUUUAAUCGAUACCUAUUGGCAAAAGUGUUGUCCAACAACGAGGACAUUUCAUUACGUUUAGUCAACAACAUCAGUCGAGUGCUUGAAAUAACUUUUUGUGAGCAGAUGCGCGUUUUUACCACAGAACGGGGUAACGUUGGACAAUAUAUUUAAUAUGGUAAUAAUGGCGAUUAACAUUGGACUAUAAUUAUACUUUAUUAUUAUGAGUAUAGACCGUUUCAUCGGACGCACGGGUGUCGCGGGUACGCGUCUGGCGUUUACUUCCGGUUUAAUGGUCUGACUAGUGCCUCAGAUGAAUUCUGGAACAAAUUACCUCGUCAAAAAUAACAAAUGUUUUGGUUUCCUAAAGGCAGGGGGAGACGGCGAUCAUGACCAUGUGAAGGGAGGUUUGAUAGCCGAUUUGUAGUUAACAAUGUAUACAUUAUAGUACACAUGUUACUUAGCAACGUUAGCUCAGUGUAGUUUUUAUACGCUUUAGCUAUGAAAUAAGAACUGAGGUGGUCUGAGUUUCCUAGGCUAACUACCCCAGGCAUGGUAUGUUAAUAUACUGUCCUUAUCAUAUGGUAACAAGAGUUUUAUUUAGUCUUCUAGUAUUUUAGAAGUUGUUUUUUUGUUAUUUUUGCAUUUAGAUUGCAGACUUUAGAAGACUUUUACACAUUACACCAGGAUGCAGCUCCAAAACUCUUCGAGAAAUGGCUCCCUUGAUAUACCGAUAGGAUCUUGCAUUUUUCUAAACCAGAAGCAAAGCUUCCAUGUUCAGUUGAGGAGAUGACACAAGAUGCAAAGGGAUAUCUUGCAUUAAAGCUGCUCCCUGUUUUGCUUCCACCUCCACCCUUCAAAACUGCCAGAAAAAGUCCGGCCCAGCAUUGAUGAUGGCAAAAAAGCUUUCAUUAACAUUCAGCCUGUUGGAACAAAUAUGAUGGAGUACCUCCAGCAGGCUGAAGCAUCAGGACUUUACCCUUAUUUCCUGUCACUUGAAAAUGGACACAUGAGUCCCAGGCAUUCGUCAUCCUUGGAGGAGAAACUUUGGACAAGGCACUUAGAUUGGGGUAGUAGAAGCACUACAUUCUUGCAAGUAAAUGACAAGAGGUUUUUUGAAUAGACUGGGUUUCAGGUACAAGAGUUAUCAUUUUAGGGUUUUUUUACAGACUUAAAGGUGCUCUAAGCGAAUCUGUGUGACGUUACUUUUUGUUGAUGUUUGAACUGUUUUCAAACAAACGGAGAGUAGCUAACUCCUUCCCUCCCUUCCGUGCUCUCGUGAACGCGCCCAACCCUCACCCCCAAAUGCUUCUUGUCGUUAAUUGGCUGGGACACUUUGUUAUCCUUUCUGGUAGUAGGUUUGGCCACUUUAUUUUUAUUGCAGUUUGUGGAGCCUAGGCUGUCUAAAGAGAUCAUGUUUUUUACAGUUUGAUCAGCGGACAGGCAGCAAGCAGAUAGUGAGAUGUUUGCUGUAUGUAACAAAAAAUGUUUUAUGGUCUAAAACGCGUGAAUUAGAGCACCUUUAAGGAAGAGUAUUACUUGAUGAAUAUUAAUGACAUGUUAACGAAAUGUUACACUGGCAAAAUGCUGUAUUUCAUAGUUUUUUGUGUGUGUUCAUAAUGUAGACUAAAACAAUACUGCUUUUUAACAAACAGUUGUUCUUAAAGGUAUUUAAUGAAUUUCAUUAUUUUUUUUAAAAUGUUAAAACGUAUAGAGGCGGUUUCACAGACAAGGAUAAGACUAGUCCUAGACUAAAGUAAAUGUAAGAGCUGUCCAAACUGAAAACUACUUGCACUGACAUAUCUUAAAAUACAACAGUGCCCUUUGUUUUCCCUCAAAAUGCACACAAGUAAUGUUUUAUUAAGAUAUGUUUGUUCAAACUUGUUAUAUUUCCUAAUUAAUAACAAAGGAUUAGUCCUGGCUUAAGCCAAUCCCUGUCUGUGAAACCACCCCUUACACUUUUGCAAUUAGAGGCAAGUGAAGAAGUUGUUUAAAAUUGUUUAAAAAUGGAAUUUUAUUUAUUGUAUUUAUAGUUUUGUAUGAUCUCCUGAAUUUUUGAUUGAGCUAUUGUGUACAAAGUGUACGUUACACACAUUGUAUUUGUUA